CAGUCGCCGCGGUAAAACGUAGGGUGCAAGCGUUAAUCGGAAUUACUGGGCGUAAAGCGUGCGCAGGCGGUUAUAUAAGACAGAUGUGAAAUCCCCGGGCUCAACCUGGGAACUGCAUUUGUGACUGUAUAGCUAGAGUACGGCAGAGGGGGAUGGAAUUCCGCGUGUAGCAGUGAAAUGCGUAGAUAUGCGGAGGAACACCGAUGGCGAAGGCAAUCCCCUGGGCCUGUACUGACGCUCAUGCACGAAAGCGUGGGGAGCAAACAGGAUUAGAUACCCCCGUAGUCCCUGUCUCUUAUAU
rnacentral:rRNA from 1 species